rnacentral:rRNA from 1 species
GGAGUCUGGUCCGUGUCUCAGUACCAGUGUGGGGGACCUUCCUCUCAGAACCCCUAACGAUCGUUGGCCAGGUGGGCCGUUACCCCGCCUGCUGCCUAAUCGUACGCAUCCCCAUCCAUCGGCGACCGAAGUCUUUCGUGAAAAUCAGAGGCCUUCUUCUCACAACAUCAGGUAUUAGGCUCCCUUUCGGAAGGUUAUCCCUGACCCAUGGGCAGGUUGGAUACGCGUUACUCACCCGUGCGCCGGUCGUCAUCAGCAGGAGCAAGCUCCCGCCAUGUUACCCCUCGACUUGCAUGUGUUAAGCCUGUAGCUAGCGUUCAUC